GUGCGUAGGUGGCUAUUUAAGUCUUUGGUGUAAGUGCAGUGNUCAACACUGUGAUGCUAAAGAACUGGAUGGCUUGAGUGUGGUAGAGGCAAGUGGAAUUCCAUGUGUAGCGGUAAAAUGCGUAAAUAUAUGGAGGAACACCAGUGGCGAAGGCGGCUUGCUGGGCCAUAACUGACACUGAGGCACGAAAGCGUGGGGAGCAAACAGGAUUAGAUACCCUGGUAGUCCACGCCGUAAACGAUGAGUACUAAGUGUAGGAGAAAUUCUGUGCUGUAGUUAACGCAAUAAGUACUCCGCCUGAGUAGUACGUACGCAAGUAUGAAACUCAAAGGAAUUGACGGGACCCCGCACAAGCGGUGGAUCAUGUUGUUUAAUUCGAUGAUACGCGAAGAACCUUACCAGGUCUUGACAUCCCCUGCAAAGCUAUGGAGACAUAGUGGAGGUUAUCAGGGAGACAGGUGGUGCAUGGUUGUCGUCAGCUCGUGUCGUGAGAUGUUGGGUUAAGUCCCGCAACGAGCGCAACCCUUAUUGCUAGUUACCAUCAUUAAGUUGGGGACUCUAGCGAGACUGCCAGUGAUAAACUGGAGGAAGGUGGGGAUGACGUCAAAUCAUCAUGCCCCUUAUGACCUGGGCUACAAACGUGAUACAAUGGCUGAAACAAAGGGCAGCGAAGCAGUGAUGUGGAGCGAAACCCAAAAAAGCAGUCUCAGUUCGGAUUGAAGUCUGCAACUCGACUUCAUGAAGUCGGAAUCGCUAGUAAUCGCGGAUCAGAACGCCGCGGUGAAUACGUUCUCGGGGUUUGUACACACCGCCCGUCAAACCACGAAAGUUGACAAUACCCAAAGCCGGUGGCCUAACCGCAAGGAGGGAGCCGUUUAAGGUAGGGUUAAUGAUUGGGGUUAAGUCGUAACAAGGUAACC
rnacentral:rRNA from 1 species